UGCAAGCUAGAAGAAAAAAUCACUAGAAUGAGUCAAGAGUACCAGCAAAACAGCUUUCACCAGAUAUUCUGCAAGAAAAAUACUAUUUAUUUAUGGUUGCAAACUCCUUCUCAUUAAGGACCCUGAAGUAAAAGAGGAGGUUAGGGAAAAGGAUGCAACUUAAAAAGAAAAUGGAAAUUAUUAUGAAUUAUGACAUUUCUUGGAAUGCAGUACAAGAUUUUAUGCCACAGAGGCAGAUAUCCUUCACAAGGCAAGCCACAAUAAGACCUCUCCAAUUCGUUGCACCUGAUUAUAUUCCUCCCUCCACCUUCCUGAAGAAGAAUCGAGUCCCACAGCUCGUCUUCCCAGGUGAAACUCACAUCUCAUUGCUGUGAGAUCCAGCUUUUACCAUGUACGUGCAGACCUGUUUACAUCAGCUCUCCACCAUUACCCAAGUGCUGUAAUUCAUGCCCUACGUCAGCUCGGUAACAUCCUGCAGUUGCUCAAAUGCAUGGGACCUCUGCAUCCUCCUGUCAUCCAGUAACAAUACUUCUCUUGAUUUUGAUGGAGGAAGAACAGCCUUUCAGCCUCUUCUAUGCUGUAGCUUCCUCGAAGACUGCCUCAUUCACUCACCUUUAAAAAGGUCCAGGCCUUUAAAACUGGACCCUGGAUGAUGCUUUCUCUUGUUUUCACUGACAAGUUUGCAAAGUACCUAAAACCCUGCAGAUUUCCUUUGGAAUUUGCUCUGAGGCAUGACUGGACAGGCAGUCCAGUACCGGACUUUUCUGUAUGCUGGAGAAGGUUUGUUUUUUGCAUAACAGAUAUUACUUGAGCAUGUCAUUUAUGGAUGACUCAACGAUCUAUAAGGAGAGAAUACGUAGGUUGCAAACAAGAUGGAUAUUGGCAUGACUUGAAGCACUUAUUAAAAAAUCUGGGAUGAAGAGAAACACCAAGGGAAGCAACUCUUCAUAACCCUCUCUAGAAACUGAAGUCUGUCCAGUCUUCUGUCAACACCCAUUUUAAAAUCUACUGCUGUGAGAAAGACAGAAGUGCAAACAUAUGCAAAUACACAUUUUCACUGCUGCAUGCAUUUUCUUUGAGAUAAGAGAAGUUGGCUUCAAUUCAUUCCCUACACCUUUUAAAAUGGGAAAAACCACUAGAGUUUAUCUUCAUUAUUUUAUUGACAUCACUGUCAGUUCUGCCUUACAGCCUGUCGGUAGCAGGUCCCCAUGUAAUGCUAAUUCCCGGAUCCUUCACUGCUGAUGUGCUUCGACACAUCAGUUGCGUAGCCCAUGACUUCCCCUCACGUGGCAGGUCGGUAUUGCUGCUGUUCCACAGGGGAACAGCAAGGCAGGAUGGUGAACAUCCGGACUGCCAGAUGUCACAGACAGCAGUGCUCCGUACCUGACACAGCAGUGGGACUACAACCAGGAGCAGAAUCUGCCACUUCUUUGAGUAAAGGCAAUGUGAAUGCAGCAGGAGGAUGCAUUUGCUGCUGGAUCCAACCAACUUCCUCAGAUCUGAAUCUGUAGCCAUUACGAAUCACCCUGCAGAAGUGAUUUAAUAGCGAACACUGAAAGUGCAGAUUUAUUCCCAAGGGUGAAGCAAUUGGUCCAGCAGUUAUUUAUUCCUAACAAACUAGCACUGUUGCUAAAUACCUAUUUUCACCAAGCAGAAAACAUUAAUGUGACCUGAUGGAAAGCCAUUAGCAUGCUGUAAAAGCUUGGGUUUUUAUAGGCAUGCUUCCAUUAUGGACUUUUCCAGCUCUACAGAUACUAUUCUAUAUGCAUUGGUGGUGAAAAUUAACAAUAUAAUGUUUAAUUUUAUUCUUUCAGGGAGGGACUCUCAAAAGUAUGCAGUGCCACAAAUCACCAUUAAAACUGAACUUGUAGAAGCAUAAGAUUAAACCAAUAUUGAACAUUCUCUCACAUCCCAUUUCUACUCCAGCCUAGCAACACAAUAUUGUAAAAUCUCCAGCCACUUACAAAACAAGCCUUAUAAUUCACAUGGCAGGUAACUCUAAACAAAACUUAGUGCCUAGGAAGUACAUGACUUUUAAUGUCUAGCUUGCUGCCAUAUUGCUCUGGUACUGUGUGACAAGCAAGAAGUCCACAUUGUCCAGAAAAAAGUUACAGUGCUACGUGACUCUGUAUUUCACAAUAAGCAAGCUAUAUGACCAGACUCACAGAAUGUGCAUAACCUGUUUUAUAUCAUUUGAUUUCUGUUAUCAGUCAUCUAUCCAGCAUGUAUCUGAUACUUUAUCAUUACUGUUAUUACUGUCAUCAUUCAGACAAGCAGUACUAUAUUUUUACCAAUUAAAUGUGGACAAACUGGUUAUUAUUGUUUUACAAUAUUAAAUAGUCUCUUAGGUAAAGACUGAGAAGCAAAUUCCCUAAUUCCUGGAUGCCAAAGUGCAGCCUGGGAAUGUUCCUUGAGAGCUAGGCUAGUUUCAACUGUAU